AGAAGGGGAUGACAGAGGAUGAGAUGGUUGGAUGGUAUCACUGACAUGAUGGAUAUGAGUUUGAGUAAGCGCCUGUAGUUGGUGAUGGAUAGGGAGGCCUGGCGUGGUGCAGUCCAUGGGGUUGCAAAGAGUUGGACCCCAGUGAGUGAGUGAACUGACAUCCUGUAGUUUCCUGCCUCUCUGCUUCCUAAGUUUAGGAGAGGGUGGUGAAAAGACGUGUAGUGUAGUGGUUAACAGUGAGGUCCCAGAAUAAAAGGCCUAGUUUUACAUCCUAACCCUGCCACUUUACAGCUGUGUGAUGUUUGGAAAAUCAUGUAACCUUUAAAGAUUUAACUUUCUUUGUCUAUAAGAGAAUGAAAUCAUUUGACAUAUAUGGAGUGCUUAGAACAAUAUUUGACAUGAGCUGAGCACUGAAUGAUACCAUGUUACUUUUCUUUUUCCUUCAUUUUUAGGCUUAUCAACAACAGAAAUUUAUUUCUCAUAGUUCUGGAGGCUCAGAAGUCCAAGAUCAGGAUACUGACUGAUUUGGUAUCUUGUGCAAAUAAUUUUUGGUAAACUAAAUUCUUUCCAGAAGUACUUAUAAGAGAUCUGGGUAUUUGAAAGAAGUACAGGAAGUGCCUUGAACAGUGAAGAAGACCCUCAAUUUCAAGACACUAAUACAUCCCACUCUUUCAAGAGUGUUGCUAGGAAGAUUAGGGAAGAUUACGCAGGCAACACCUUUUGAGAGGUUNNNNNNNNNNNNNNNNNNNNNNNNNNNNNNNNNNNNNNNNNNNNNNNNNNNNNNNNNNNNNNNNNNNNNNNNNNNNNNNNNNNNNNNNNNNNNNNNNNNGCAACACCUUUUGAGAGGUUAUUACUCACUACAUAACUUCAGUGAGUUAAAUUUAAAUUUGGCAUACAUUCUUUGUCUUAUUAAACCAUUUAGGUGUGAAAUCAAGGUCGGUACUGAACAAUUGUUACCUAUCUAUCCUCUGCUGUUCAGCAACUGGUCUGGGCUGCUUGGUGAGCACACUGUCUCUUUCCCACCAACACAUGAACACCAAGAAGAAAGGCUCAUUUCAUGACAACGGGAAAGAGGAGUGAAAAAAAAAAACCAACACAAUUUACACAGCCCACUGUGAACAUAAUGGUUCAAGGCAGAAGACGUCCUUAACUGAAUCAAUUAAUCAUAUUUAUUUUUCCCUGGUAAGUCUUUGUUUUUUAUUGAGAAAGUUCAUUUAUGGACCAAAUAUUGAAAUUAGUGUUGAUGUAUUUUACAUCAAUCAUUUCAUGAUUAAAAGAGCUUCUGGUGAAAUAGGUCAGUUGAAUGGACAUCCUAGCCUAGCUUUGAACCAAAUCAUACAGUUGCUAGCGUUAUUCUUUGGUGGUCUCUUUCUUCUUUCAUGAAUUACCUCUCUUACUAGUAGGCAGCAUGGUGUAGUAAAAACACUUGAGACCUGAGAAUGCAAUCCAGUUUCCCAUAUGCAAGUUGUCCAUUGGGUUGUCCCAUAUGCAGGUUGUCCAGUUGCUGAACUCUAUUUCCUCAUAUUCAAGAUGAAAAUUAUCAGCCCUACUUCAUGGAGUGGAAAUGAGCAUUAAAUGACACAGUGUCACAAUAUACAGGAAGCGAAGGAAAUGUUUCCUCCCUCUUCCUCUCAAAGUCUCUCCUGUCACAAAUACAGCAGAGAACUUCAAUUUUAAGAUGCUCUUGUCUUGUUAAGGAGUAUAUGAGUUUUGAAAUAGCCUGUGUAAUUUUAAAUAACACCGAAUGUGUGAGAGGGAGACACUUGAAAGCACAAAGAACACUCUAAGUUCUCUUAAUUAACAUUAUGGAGGUGAACAUGCUCAUCAUGUACUGAUUCGGGCCAGUUUGGCUCAUGUGAUUAUACAAAUUAUCAGCUAACUGGCCAAGGAUGUUUGGUCUGAUGGCUUUGAUCUAAUGAGCAUUUAGGUGAUAUUUAAAAAUGGUGACAUAUAAUGAAGUAUCUUUCAGCCUUAGAAAGGGAUGAAAUUCUGACACUUGCUACAAGGAUGAACCUUGAAAAUGUUGUGCUAGGUGAAAUGUCAGAUACAAAAGGGCAAAGUGUGGGAUGACUCACUUAUCUAAGGCAUCUGGAAGAGUCAAAUUCAUAGGGCAGAGAGUAGAAUAGUGGUUUCCAGGGGCUUCAGGAAGGGGAAAUGAGGAGUUAUUGUUUAAUGGGCCUAGUUAAACUCGAGGCCCAGUUUGUGAUGAUGAAUUUCCAGUGAUAGACAGUGGUGAAGGUUGUGUAAUAAUGUGAAUGGACUUAAUGCUGCUAGCUGAACUACACACUUAAAAAUGGUUAAAAUCUUAUAUUUUAUAUCAUGUAUAUAUGUCAUAAUAACAAGAGCAGACUGCUAAAUACAAAAUAAAUGAUAUAAUAUGAACAGUGGAAAGUGUAAAGAUUGCAGAGCUUGUGAAGACAAGCCACAGACUGGGAGAAAAUCUUUGCAAAAGACAUAUCUGAUAGAGGACUGUUAUGCAGAAUAUACAAAGAAUCCUUAAAACUCAACGGUAGAAAGUGAACAACUUGAUUUAAAAAAUGGAUGCCUGAACAAGUAUCUUGCUAAAGAAGAUAAACAGAUAGCAAAUAGCCUUUAAGAUCUGCUCCAUAUCACAUGUUAAGAGGGACAUGCAAAUUAGAACAAAAAUGAAAUAUCACUAUACACCUAUUCAGUCAGUUCAGUUCACUCAGUCGUGUCUGACUCUUUGCGACCCCAU
rnacentral:lncRNA from 1 species